rnacentral:tRNA from 1 species
GUUGUGGCUCAGUGGUACAGCACUUGCCUCACAAGUGUGAGUCACUGGGUUCAAUCCCCAGCACAACA